rnacentral:rRNA from 1 species
GUGGGGAAUAUUGGACAAUGGGGGGAACCCUGAUCCAGCCAUGCCGCGUGUGUGAAGAAGGCCUUUUGGUUGUAAAGCACUUUAAGCGAGGAGGAGGCUACCGAGAUUAAUACUCUUGGAUAGUGGACGUUACUCGCAGAAUAAGCACCGGCUAACUCUGUGCCAGCAGCCGCGGUAAUACAGAGGGUGCAAGCGUUAAUCGGAUUUACUGGGCGUAAAGCGCGCGUAGGUGGCCAAUUAAGUCAAAUGUGAAAUCCCCGAGCUUAACUUGGGAAUUGCAUUCGAUACUGGUUGGCUAGAGUAUGGGAGAGGAUGGUAGAAUUCCAGGUGUAGCGGUGAAAUGCGUAGAGAUCUGGAGGAAUACCGAUGGCGAAGGCAGCCAUCUGGCCUAAUACUGACACUGAGGUGCGAAAGCAUGGGGAGCAAACAGGAUUAGAAACCCGAGUAGUCC